rnacentral:rRNA from 1 species
AGGGUUUGAUCAUGGCUCAGAACGAACGCUGGCGGCAGGCCUAACACAUGCAAGUCGAGCGCGCCCUUCGGGGUGAGCGGCGGACGGGUUAGUAACGCGUGGGAACGUACCCAGAUCUACGGAAUAGCCUUUGGAAACGAAGAGUAAUACCGUAUACGCCCUUCGGGGGAAAGAUUUAUCGGAUUUGGAUCGGCCCGCGUUAGAUUAGAUAGUUGGUGGGGUAAUGGCCUACCAAGUCUACGAUCUAUAGCUGGUUUUAGAGGAUGAUCAGCAACACUGGGACUGAGACACGGCCCAGACUCCUACGGGAGGCAGCAGUGGGGAAUCUUAGACAAUGGGCGCAAGCCUGAUCUAGCCAUGCCGCGUGAGUGAUGAAGGCCUUAGGGUCGUAAAGCUCUUUCGCCAGGGAUGAUAAUGACAGUACCUGGUAAAGAAACCCCGGCUAACUCCGUGCCAGCAGCCGCGGUAAUACGGAGGGGGUUAGCGUUGUUCGGAAUUACUGGGCGUAAAGCGCGCGUAGGCGGACCAGAAAGUUGGGGGUGAAAUCCCGGGGCUCAACCCCGGAACUGCCUCCAAAACUCCUGAUCUAGAGUUCGAGAGAGGUGAGUGGAACUCCGAGUGUAGAGGUGAAAUUCGUAGAUAUUCGGAAGAACACCAGUGGCGAAGGCGGCUCACUGGCUCGAUACUGACGCUGAGGUGCGAAAGUGUGGGGAGCAAACAGGAUUAGAUACCCUGGUAGUCCACACCGUA